rnacentral:rRNA from 1 species
GACGAACCGUGCGAACGUUGUUCGGAUUCACUGGGCUUAAAGGGCGCGUAGGCGGCCGGCGUAGUCGGGGGUGAAAUCGUCCCGCUUAACGGGACCAUUGCCUCCGAUACUGGCCGGCUGGAGGGAGGUAGGGGUGCGCGGAACUUCCGGUGGAGCGGUGAAAUGCGUAGAUAUCGGAAGGAACGCCGGUGGCGAAAGCGGCGCACUGGAUCUCUACUGACGCUGAUGCGCGAAAGCCAGGGGAGCAAACGGG